rnacentral:misc_RNA from 1 species
AACAAGGCGUACCUGCGGACCUGCGGAGGGAUCAUUACCGAGUGCGGGUCCGCGUGGCCCAACCUCCCACCCGUGCCUAUUGUACCCUGUUGCUUCGGCGGGCCCGCCAGCCUUCGGGCUGGCCGCCGGGGGGCGUCUCGCCCCCGGGCCCGUGCCCGCCGGAGACCCCAACAUGAACCCUGUUCUGAAAGCUUGGUGUCUGAGUGUGAUUGUUUGCAAUCAGUUAAAACUUUCAACAAU